rnacentral:rRNA from 1 species
ACCUGGUUGAUCCUGCCAGUAGUCAUAUGCUUGUCUCAAAGAUUAAGCCAUGCAUGUCUAAGUAUAAGCGAGUAUACUGUGAAACUGCGAAUGGCUCAUUAAAUCAGUUAUGGUUUAUUUGAUGGUACCUUACUACGUGGAUACCCGUAGUAAUUCUAGAGCUAAUACAUGCAGGAGUUCGUGCGCGGCUCGUCCGCGCGCGAUGUAUUUAUUAGAUAAGAGACCAACCCGCCUCGUGCGGUUGCGUGCCGAGUCAUAAUAACUGUUCGAAUCGCAUGGCUCUGACGCCGGCGAUGGUUCAUUCAAAUUUCUGCCCUAUCAGCUUUCGAUGGUAGGC